rnacentral:rRNA from 1 species
AACGAACGCUGGCGGCAUGCCUAACCCAUGCAAGUCGAACGAGACCAUCGGGUCUAGUGGCGCACGGGUCAGUCACGCGUUGGAACCUGCCCUUCGGUUCGGAAUAACUCUCCGCAAGGGGUGCUCAUACCGGCUACUGUCUUCGGACCAAAGAUUUAUCGCCUUUCGGUGGGCCCGCGUUGGCUUAGCUCGUUGGUAGGGUAAAAGCAUACCAAGGCGACGAUCCAUAGCUGGUCUGAGAGGACGAACAGCCACACUAGGACUGAGACACGGCCCAGACUCCGACGGGAGGUAGCAGGGGGGAACAGGGGACAAGGCCCGAAAGCCCGAGCCAUGAAUGCCGCGAGAGGUAGCAAAUGCGGAGGUUUGGAAAGCUCUUUUACCCGGGAUGAUAAUGACAGCACAGGCAUAAAGAGCUCCGGCUAGCGCCGU